rnacentral:rRNA from 1 species
AUGUCAGCUUUGAAGGAACAGCUGGGUGCAAUGGAUGAUGAGAACAAAGAACUGAAGCAAAAGGUUGACCAGUUUAAGAGCAUUCAUGUUGCCCAAUGUAAUGUGAUUAGGAAUCUGAAGUUUGCUCAUUUGAAGGAGAAGGAAAAGUUGAGCACGGAGAGGAGGAAUUUGGAGUUUCACAUUGCUGAUCUUGUCAAAGCUAGUGACAAGAACAAGAGAAAGCUGAAGGACAUCAAGGAUAUUUGUGAUGAAGAGUGA